GGUAUUUUGACUAUACGAAGGUAUUGAAAUAAGGCUUUAAUUGAGUGCUAAGAGAAUGGUUAAACAAGGACUAACUUUCUUAAAAUUUAUAAUAAAAGUUAAUUUAAAAAUGAAAAAGUUUUUAUUUAUUUUUGGGACAAGAAGACCCUAUGAAUUUUUUUUAAAAAGUUAUUUAUUAUUUUUAAAAGGGAAAAUGAAGUAUUUUUUUAAAUUGGUUGGGGUGAUUUUUAAAGAAUAAUUAUCUUUAAAAAAAGUUGAAAGUAGAACCAUAUUUUGUGGAUAUUUAAUCUAAAUACUCUAGGGUUAACAGCGUAAUUAUUUUGGAUAGUUCAUAUAGAUAAAAUAGUUUGCGACCUCGAUGUUGGAUUAAGAUACUUAUAUAAUGAAGAAGUUAUAUUAAGGAGUUUGCUCAACUUUUAAAAUCUU
rnacentral:rRNA from 1 species